AAGAAAGUGACUGCCGCCCCGCACAGGGGCGAAGCUAAUAAACCAAUAUCAAAGCAAGUUUCAUGGAAGCGCAAGCGCAUCAGAUGGUUCAAAAAACACCAACCCCUGCCGGAAGGCAGAACCCC
rfam:Burkholderia glathei strain DSM 50014 contig20, whole genome shotgun sequence.